UAGUAGAUCUAGAAAUUUAUGUGCUAAC
rnacentral:piRNA from 1 species